rnacentral:tRNA from 1 species
CCGCGCGGGCCGAGGAGGGACGGUUACCACUGCGAAUGGGGAGGUCGCGGGUUCGAACCCCGCCGGGCCGA